rnacentral:rRNA from 1 species
GAUGAACGCUGGCGGCGUGCCUAAUACAUGCAAGUCGAGCGAACAGACGAGGAGCUUGCUCCUCUGACGUUAGCGGCGGACGGGUGAGUAACACGUGGAUAACCUACCUAUAAGACUGGGAUAACUUCGGGAAACCGGAGCUAAUACCGGAUAAUAUAUUGAACUGCAAGGUUCAAUAGUGAAAGACGGUUUUGCUGACACUUAUAGAUGGCUCCGCGCAGGAUUAGCUAGUUGGUAAGGUAACGGCUUACCAAGGCAACGAUGCGUAGCCGACCUGAGAGGGUGAUCCGCCACACUGGAACUGAGACACGGUCCAGACUCCUACGGGAGGCAGCAGUAGGGAAUCUUCCGCAAUGGGCGAAAGCCUGACGGAGCAACGCCGCGUGAGUGAUGAAGGUCUUCGGAUCGUAAAACUCUGUUAUUAGGGAAGAACAAAUGUGUAAGUAACUAUGCACGUCUUGACGGUACCUAAUCAGAAAGCCACGGCUAACUACGUG